UACGUAGGGGGCUAGCGUUGUCCGGAUUUAUUGGGCGUAAAGGGCGCGUAGGCGGCCCCUUUUGUCGCGUGUGAAAGCCCCGGGCUCAACCUGGGAGGUGCGCGCGAAACGGGGGGGCUUGAGUUCGGGAGAGGAGCGUGGAAUUCCCAGUGUAGAGGUGAAAUUCGUAGAUAUUGGGAAGAACACCGGUGGCGAAGGCGGCGCUCUGGACCGAGACUGACGCUGAGGCGCGAAAGCGUGGGGAGCAAACAGG
rnacentral:rRNA from 1 species